ACCUUCUGUGGUGUAGUGGUAGCGCCUUGAAUUGGUAAUCGUAAGUCCUAGGUUGAAGUCCUGGUCAGGGUA